AUUGAACGCUGGCGGCAGGCCUAACACAUGCAAGUCGAACGGUAACAGGAAGCAGCUUGCUGCUUCGCUGACGAGUGGCGGACGGGUGAGUAAUGUCUGGGAAACUGCCUGAUGGAGGGGGAUAACUACUGGAAACGGUAGCUAAUACCGCAUAACGUCGCAAGACCAAAGAGGGGGACCUUAGGGCCUCUUGCCAUCGGAUGUGCCCAGGUGGGAUUAGCUAGUAGGUGGGGUAGCGGCUCACCUAGGCGACGAUCCCUAGCUGGUCUGAGAGGAUGACCAGCCACACUGGAACUGAGACGCGGUCCAGACUCCUACGGGAGGCAGCAGUGGGGAAUAUUGCACAAUGGGCGCAAGCCUGAUGCAGCCAUGCCGCGUGUAUGAAGAAGGCCUUCGGGUUGUAAAGUACUUUCAGCGGGGAGGAAGGGAGUAAAGUUAAUACCUUUGCUCAUUGACGUUACCCGCAGAAGAAGCACCGGCUAACUCCGUG
rnacentral:rRNA from 1 species